AGCCACACACUGGGAAAGUGAGAUCACCAGCCAGGGGCGCUCGGUUUGGCUACAGGUCACGUACGUGGUCCAGAUGAAAAAUGCCCUGUGGGAUCCAAGGAGGGCAAGAAAGACAGGGUGUGUGCUGAUUAUUCUGUCUGCCCUGGACUCAGGCUCAGAGACUCUCUGUUCCCUGCUGGGUGCCCUGGGAGAGACCUCCGUAGACCACAUCGACCGGCCCCUUGCCCCCAUCUUCUAGGUGGGCUUUGCCCGUGGAGCCACAGAGUUCCCUUGAGUGUGCUGGGACGCGGACUAGUGAACCAUCCUAGGAAAUAACCCUCGAAGGAGCAGAGCCUGCAGCUGGGCUUCUGAGCGGCGGCUGAAGCUGGAUGCGCAGGGACGAGAAGAGAGGGCUUUCCGGGGAGCGCGGUCCGAGCCCGGGCACCAGGGAGCGAAGGCUGAUCAUGGGAGUCUUUGACCACCGGGCUGAGGGACUUGGCCUUCAUCUCUUGGGUUGCAUUGAGCUACUGGAAGGUUUUGAGCUAAUGAAACAAACAUCUAACUUUA